UACAGAGGUCCCAAGCGUUGUUCGGAUUCACUGGGCGUAAAGGGUGCGCAGGUGGGCUGGUAAGUUCGAUGUGAAAGCCCCGGGCUUAACCCGGGAAUGGCAUUGGAUACUACUGGUCUGGAGGAUUGGGGGGGGACUGGAAUUCUUGGUGUAGCAGUGAAAUGCGUAGAUAUCAAGAGGAACACCAGUGGCGAAGGCGAGUCCCUGGACAAUACCUGACACUGAGGCACGAAAGCCAGGGGAGCAAACGGG
rnacentral:rRNA from 1 species